CAGUUGUUGACAAGUCUGGAACAAGUUGUUAUCAUCUUGUAACAAGGUUGAUGAGGCCAACAGACUCGCAACAAAUUGUUCUAACAAGUCUGAUAUUGUCUGCACAUAACAGAUUGUUAGCAACUUCAUGCCAACACACUUGUAAACAACUUGUUACAAACAUCCUGUAGACCUGUAUUAGUCUCGUUGGAACAUCUUGUAGCAAGUCUGUUACUAUCAUCAAGACAUCAACCUUGUAACAAGGUAACAACUUGUUACAGGCUUGUCACAACAACUG